GUUUUGUUUGCCAAAGAAAUGCCUCCUGUAGAACGCAGAACGUGUGAAUACCAAAGGAAGGUCUGUAGUUCGACUGGUCAUGAGAACAACAACAACGCAAAGCAGAAUUUCCAGUACAAACAGGCAAAACGAUCAAGGUCGUUCCUUGGACAGAGGAGCAGUUAGCGGCCAUGCGAAGGUCAUUCGCCAAAAAUCUCCGCUCCUUAAGAGUUCCUAACAAGGAGGAAUGCGAACGAGCAAGGAAAAAUGAGAGCCUGUUGCUUUGUCGUGACUGAAAGAACAUCAAAUUUCGUGUCCAUCAUGAAAUACAAAGAUUAAAGAAAAAAAUGAAGUCAGUCUGAAAAAAAAGUUAACAGAAAAAGAAACAUCCGUUAAACUUGCAAUGAAAUCUAACAGACAUACAUUUUCAAAAUGUAAAAAUGUUUAUGUGUUGUUUUUUUUUUUACAUAAAGUCCCCAGACACUCGUUCAUGUACAGUAUUGUUUUUGCUGGAUGUUCAUGUUAAGAGGUCAUGAAAUAUCGACAAAUUACUAUCACGGGUUCGUUCAUGAAAAAAAAAAUUGACUGAAAUAAAAGUAUUGUAGUUCUUCAAUUGAGGUUGUCGUUCUUAUUGAAUGAAAGCUAAAGAUUCAUCAUUCGUCUAAGUUAUACCUCCAGAACAAUUCAUUCUUGCAGAAUUUGUACAAAACUUUUGUUUAAGUAUUAGUCCAUUAUCAUUCAUUUACAUUUAUUUACGAUAAAUACGUGUUCGCGGUCCGAAUACAUCUAUUCAUCCUUUGCACUGUG
rnacentral:lncRNA from 1 species